rnacentral:rRNA from 1 species
UACGUAGGCAGCGAGCGUUGUUCGGAGUUACUGGGCGUAAAGAGUAUGUAGGCGGUUUUGCAAGUUUGGUGUGAAAUCUCCCGGCUCAACUGGGAGGGUGCGCCGAAAACUGCAAGGCUCGAGUGUGGGAGAGGAAAGCGGAAUUCCUGGUGUAGCGGUGAAAUGCGUAGAGAUUAGGAAGAACACCAGUGGCGAAGGCGAUUCUCUGGACCAUAACUGACGUUGAGGCAUGAAAGCGUGGGUAGCAAAC